UUAAACCGAAAACGGGUGUGCAAUAUUUUACACGACAACGGCAUUACUGCGUUUUCAAUUGUAGCUGAUUUGAAAAGGGCAGUACGGAUGGUCAGCCUCAAAGAAUGGGGUCCUUUGUAGAAACGUCCUUUAAAUUCGGCCAUUUUCAGAAGUGAAGUCUUUUCAAAUGGACGAUCAUGGUGUACGCAAUGUUUUUCGGGGUUCCUGGACCGUGCUUGAAGACGACAGUCUGCUUCGUUCACUUUCCUUUCUGUGAUGGUAUGAAUUUAAUAUCUUCUCCGAUGAGUUUACCAAGUAAAUGUGAAGCGCUUUAUACUGGUUCCAUUCUUUUGUGACUUAGUUGCAUAAACUAAAGAUUUAUCUUCAGUUCUGUUGCUGCUUUGAAGAAAUUAAGUUCUGAACUACUGUGUUUCAAACCGUACAUAUGCCUAUAUGUAGUACAUUAGCUUGUCUUGUCUUUGUAAUUGUAUUAAAUAUGUAAAAUACA